CAUUCAGCUCGGGGAGACCGCGGGCUGCGCGCGGGGCGAGUCCUGCACCUCACAGGGUCCUGCCUCUCAGCACCGUGGAGGGAGGGGACCAUGGAGGUGAAGACCCAGCCAUCUGACAAAGGCGACCUGCCUUCUCAGAGCCCUGUUCCUACUUCAGAGAACCUCUCCAAAAAGAAGGGAAGAUUACCAGUCAGAUUCC